AAACGUGUGCUCGGAACGGGUUUCACCUUCGGGUGGAUGAAAAGGGAAUGCGGUUCGGCCAUCUGGCCAAUCCCGCAACUGCCCCCGCAACUGUAGCCGCCGAGCUUCCUUCCACGAUGCCACUGGGUGUGUUCGCACAUUCGGGAAGGCGGAAGAUGGAGCGUUGACGCGGAAGUCAGGAGACCUGCCUGUUCCAGUCACCCAUGC
rnacentral:ncRNA from 1 species